rnacentral:lncRNA from 1 species
UGGCGAAAUUGUGGACAUCACAGGAGCAACCACAGCCAUCACAGCAGCAGCCAUCAGUGCAGCCACCAUCACAGCCACCACCACAGCCAUCAACAUUGCCACAGGCACAGGUCUCAUGAACCCAUGCCAAUCUAGCCCCAUCAGAAACACUGGGUAUUCACAACUCAAGUCUACCAAUUACAUACAGCAGUGGUGAUCCAGAGAUUGAACCCAGGACCCCAUGGCCAUCCCCAAAAUGCAGAUGAGCAACCACAUCUUCUCAGCAUCCAGCAAUAUCUCCACUCCAAAAGCCACCCACUCUAGAAGAGGAGGCUGCCAGGAAUAAAAUGUAAUUUUU